GCAUCAUUAGCUGAAUUGGUACAGUGUUUGCCUUCGGAGCAAAAAGUUGUUGGUUCGAGUCCAACAUGAUGUU
rnacentral:tRNA from 1 species